rnacentral:rRNA from 1 species
GUGUCAGCCGCCGCGGUAAUACGAAGGGGGCUAGCGUUGCUCGGAAUUACUGGGCGUAAAGGGCGCGUAGGCGGAUGUUUAAGUCAGCGGUGAAAGCCCAGGGCUCAACCUUGGAACUGCCAUUGAUACUGGACAUCUUGAGUACGGGAGAGGUGAGUGGAACACCGAGUGUAGAGGUGAAAUUCGUAGAUAUUCGGUAGAACACCAGUGGCGAAGGCGACUCACUGGCCCGUUACUGACGCUGAGGCGCGAAAGCGUGGGGAGCAAACAGGAUUAGAUACCCGCGUAGUCC